AUUCGGUUUGGUUCGGAACCGAACUGGCCGAAUGCUCUCCCCUAAUAGAUAUACUCUUCUUAAUGUUAUACAGUUACUGAUUAUCUACAAAUGGCCAUUAAAGUUCUUUCUGAACUAACCCAUCAUCAAGAAGGCAUAGAGAUAUAUAAAUCUUUUCUUGAACAAAACCUCAUAUAAAGAUCCAUCUAGUUAUAUAAAUCCAAUACCAAUAGAAAUUAACAAAAAUAGCAUGCUUA
rnacentral:misc_RNA from 1 species